UUGACCUCAAAUCAGGUAGGAUUACCCGCUGAACUUAAGCAUAUCAAUAAGCGGAGGAAAAGAAACUAACAAGGAUUCCCCUAGUAACUGCGAGUGAAGCGGGAAAAGCUCAAAUUUAAAAUCUGGCGGUCUUCGACUGUCCGAGUUGUAAUCUAGAGAAGUGUUACCUGUGCUGGACCGUGUACAAGUCUCCUGGAAUGGAGCAUCAUAGAGGGUGAGAAUCCCGUCUUUGACAUGGACUGCCUGUACAUUAUGGUGCGCUCUCGAAGAGUCGAGUUGUUUGGGAAUGCAGCUCAAAAUGGGUGGUAAAUGCCAUCUAAAGCUAAAUAUUGGCGAGAGACCGAUAGCGAACAAGUACCGUGAGGGAAAGAUGAAAAGAACUUUGGAAAGAGAGUUAAACAGUACGUGAAAUUGCUGAAAGGGAAACGCUUGAAGUCAGUCGCGUUGGCUAGAAAUCAGCCUUGCUCUUGCUUGGUGUACUUUCUUGUCGACGGGUCAGCAUCAGUUUUGACCAUUGGAGAAGGACAUUGGGAAUGUGGCAUCCUUGGAUGUGUUAUAGCCUGGUGUUGCAUACGAUGGUUGGGAUUGAGGAACUCAGCACGCCGCAAGGCCGGGUCUCUGACCACGUUCGUGCUUAGGAUGCUGGCAUAAUGGCUUUAAUCGACCCGUCUUGAACCACGGACC
rnacentral:rRNA from 1 species